CUCUUAUCCAGAGCGGUGGAGGGACCGGCCCUGUGAAACCGCGGCAACCGGUGGGGAAACCCACGCCUUGGUGCCAAUUCCGGCCCGCGCGAGCGGGAAAGAUAAGGG
rnacentral:ncRNA from 2 species